GGAAGAUGCGAGCUGGGAGAGGCAGGCAGGGCUAGUCUACACAGAGCCAUAUCAGGGAGCUGGGCUUCCUGCUAACAGCAAUAUAAGAGGAUGAAUCACUGCUGAAGAGGUCUGGAGUUGUGCAAGACAGCGUGCCCUCUGCCUCCAACGCAAGUCUCAAACCAUGGGGAUCAGCUUGCCUUGGCCACCACCAGCCUCUUGGCUACAGAAGGGGGAUGAAGUUGACUCAAGGGUAAGAUCUCCAUCUACCAGGGGUCACAUUGUGCAUUUAAGGGGGGCUUUCCUCAACCCCAUCCUAUAUGUACUUCCACUGAGCUGGGCUGAUUUCAUGCUAUGGGUCCUGCUGUAUGGAUUCAUUACCAAUGUGCCCAACACAAAAAAAGGAAGGACCCAACAGAAGCCAGUAGUACCUUCAGGGUGGCUCUUCAUCUAUAUCCUACGUGUUCACUCCCAUAUUACUAAGCCAGCACUUUCUUAGCUACAAACCAUUGUUCCCCUCCAACCAAUAUUCUGAGGCAUAAAAUGUCUUUAUAAAGACACUUUGGGGAUCCCUCUGUACCCUCUAUUGUUUAAAUAGUAAUAAAAUCUCAGAUCCAAAGUAUUUCUGGAGAUUUACUUAUUUUCCUCAUUUACCCAUCAUCCAUCCAUCCAUCCAUCCAUCCAUCCAGCAUCCAGCACCCAUAUGCCCAGCAUUGUUCUACAUACUGUUCUAUCCAAGACCCAUCUCCAAGCCAUACCCCCCUCCAUGAGCUCCUGAAAUUGUAAAUUAGAUAUAUCAUUUUACCAACAGAAUUGGAGGAGAUUUUAUUGGCCAGCAAAUGAAACCCCCUGUCAUGGACAGCAUGUCCCAGGGCAAGCCCAACCCCAGAGAGACCUAUGUAAAUAGGCAACAAGCUCCAGAAUUACACUAACUUUCAAACUCCUUUCUAUUAAUUCUAUUCUGUCCAUUGAAUUGAAACCACCACAUCCACAGUGAGGGAGAUGGGGGCAGCUGGUGAAGGGGUGGGCAGUAUUCCCCACAGACCCAGGCAAGAGGGGCUCCUACACUAUGUCUGAGCUUUAGAAAGCCCACAGGUCACAAACACACAAAAUAGUAAAUUACAUGUCAAUUAUCUCUCAAUGAGAAAAAAAUAAAACUAAGAGUUAAAAGAUGGACACCCCAAAAUAAAUUUAUUAAAGAAACGUGGGCACUUCUAUCUUCCAAGAUUUGGUUGUCAGGCUGGCCCAGCACAAUCUGGGACCAUAAACAUCCACUCUUAAGAUGAACACUGUUCAAGGGAACUACAUCUCUGCACCAUGUCCACAAAAUAGCUGUUGUUGAAUUUUCAGCAUGGGGAAGGAAAGUGCUUGUUGGAGAAAGUCACUUGCCUUUGAGAUGGAGUUAAAGCUCCAGAGGCAGUUGCUUACCCAAAACCAGAAGGGAAGCCACUUUCAGCAUUCAAGAGUUCAGAGGGGAAAGUCAGGCAAGGUUGGCAAGAGAAAGUGCCCAGCAAGUAAGGACCGGGGGUGGGUAUUUAGGAAUGUACUUUAACCCAGGGGUGUUUCCACAACUGAUGGCCCACAUCAGCUCUCUGAGCUUUUCAUAUAGUUUAGUUCUGAGGCCACAGGCCAGAAACAAGACACCCACUGGGGUCCUUCUCAUGGCCUAACCAUUCCUUGCUCUGCAGCUGUGGUGUCCAAGAGCCUAUACAUGGAUGUAACAUUUUCUGGAAGGACCAGCCGUUUAUUCUGAAAUAAUGUCAGCCUCAUGCAUUCGGUGUAACUAAGCCCUUUGAAAAUAAAGAGAUGCAUUUUUAUUGUUAUUGAUAAUUUUGUUUAAGAUUUUUUUGAUGUGGACCAUUUUUAAAUUCUUUAUUGAAUUUGUUACAAUAUUGCUUCUGUUUUAUGUUUUGGUAUUUUGGCCACGAGGCAUGUGGGAUCUUAGCUCCCGACCAGGUAUCAAACCCACACCCCCAGCAUUGGAAGGCAAAAUCUUAACCACUGGACCACCAGGUUUCCACCUUUUUUAAUGUCUCACUGACAAAGUUUUUGAACGAUGUGCUUCAACACAGUUCUACUGUGCAACUCUAUACAGCACAAUGACUUUUAGGAGCACACAUGUCACGUGACAGCAGAACUGACUGUAUCAUCUUCCAGUUAUCACUUCUGCAUCUCUAAGCAUCUUGCCAGCUAAGUCAUCUCUUCUACCAAAGUAUUUCCAAGUAUUCGUAACUAGAGAGGAUCUACAUAUCAACGCUUUGAGACCAGCACAGAGCUCUUUCAGACUCCGUUGUAAAUGAAAUCACCCUCGAUUUGCUAUCAAUAAGAGACAAUUUUCAGAAACAGCAAAGAGAAGAUGUACAAUGUGGAGGGCAUUUCAUCUGGCAAAAGCACCCAUGUGGCACCUCCACCUUCUUCCUGGCUGAUUCUCACCUGAUCCCUGAUA